AGCAUAGGUUCUAGAAAUCUUUUAUGUCAUUGGUUCUGAUAUGCUAAUUAAUAAGGUAAUCCGUAGCCUCUUUCCUUCGUAUAAAGACAGCUUGACUCCCUCACCUCUUACCUUAUUAUUAGCUCAAGAGUAAAGUCUGUGCAGUCAGUUUCAAGCUUGCCUGGUGGGCCAGGCUCACUUUGAGAAAGAUAAAAUGCUUUAGUUUUGUGGCCCUGGGAGCACAGUGACCUGGCGUGCAGUCUCUGCAGGAUGUGGGGCCAUGUGGACCGAUGGAGGGUUGUUUGGUGCCCUCUAGUGGUUGGAACUGUUCAACGACUCCUAAGACGGGGGCUCACCCCCCUUGAGCAGCUGGCUUUAAUGAAAAGAAACAGGAUUCGGCCUUGAACUUGCUGUUGGGAGACCCGCGGUGUCUUGCCAGAGCACCUCCCCUCUCCGGUCUCAGUAUUUUAAAGCAUAAAUUGGAAGAGGUGGACAAAGCUGUCCGUGAGCAGGGAGCCAGCCCGUCCAGAGGGCUGCCGGGGAGACCAGUCACGGAUGCAGUCUAGGCAAGAAGGCACAUGCGACAGCCACUCGAGUCUGUCCCCACUGGCGUGGGAGCUCUCCGAGACCAGGACCUUGGCUUAUUAUUUAUCUUUGUGUCCCUAACAUCUGGCACAGAGAAAGUAUUCGAUAAACGUGUAUUGAAAGGAGGGAGGGAGAAGGAAGAAAGGUAGUUUGGCGGAGGCUUAUGUUUGCGCAGAAGUGGGCGGGUCAAGAUGAAGUCCUGUGAAGUGGAGCCGAGCACGGUAUCGCUCCACGUCAGAAACCUGAUGCAGAGGCGACCGAAGACACCGUGGGUCUCAUGCUGCCCCCUGAGGAGGAGACACCUGGAUUCUGACUCCAGAGGCCUGGAACUCUUUGACUCCCUGUAGGGCGGCGCAGGGGUCCAGAAACCUUUCUCCUGACCACCAGAUGUAUUCCUCCGCCUGGAUGUCCUUAGGCAGAUCAGUCACACUCAUCUCUUCAGGACUGGACCCACCGUCUUCCUCAACAUGCGUGUCCCCCUCGCUAGCAAGUAGUAUGUAGAAUGCUGCUUCCCUGCACAUCCUUUUUGGAGUGACAGUAAGGCGCAAGAGUCAGCAACAAACCCGAUGCUUUCCUGCCUCCUGAGGAGGGGCAGAAGGAGGAGGGGGCACUUCCUGAAGGGGC
rnacentral:lncRNA from 1 species